UCUGGUGCCAGCAGCCGCGGUAAUUCCAGCUCUCAAAGUGCAUAGAAUUAUUGCUGCGGUUAAAAAGCUCGUAGUUGGAUCUGUGCCAUAGGACGGGGUCCACCUUCGGGUGCGUACUCCGCUCCUAGGCUUUUUGCUGGUUUUCCCGUCGUAGCCUUCACUGGUUGCGGCGGGUGGCUGGCGAGUUUACUUUGAGAAAAUCAGAGUGCUCAACACAGGCGUCUAGCUUGAAUGAUUGUGCAUGGAAUAAUAGAAAAGGAUUUCGGUCCUCUUUUAUUGGUUUUGUGGACUGAGAUAAUGGUUAACAGGGACAAACGGGGGCAUUCGUAUCGCUGCGUGAGAGGUGAAAUUCUUGGACCGUAGCGAGACGCCCUACUGCGAAAGCAUUUGCCAAGAAUGUCUUCAUUAAUCAAGAACGAAAGUCAGAGGUUCGAAGGCGAUCAGAUACCGCCCUAGUUCUGACCGUAAACGAUGCCAACUAGCGAUCCGCCGGUGGAUUUUUAGCCCUGGUGGGUAGCUUCCCGGAAACGAAAGUCUUCCGGUUCCGGGGGAAGUAUGGUUGCAAAGCUGAAACUUAAAGGAAUUGACGGAAGGGCACCACCAGGAGUGGAGCCUGCGGCUUAAUUUGACUCAACACGGGGAAACUCACCCGGCCCGGACACCGUAAGGAUUGACAGAUUGAUAGCUCUUUCAUGAUUCGGUGGUUGGUGGUGCAUGGCCGUUCUUAGUUCGUGGAUCGAUUUGUCUGGUUUAUUCCGAUAACGAGCGAGACUCUAGCCUACUAAAUAGUAACGAGAUUGCCAUUGUCUUAGUUGCUUCUUAGAGGGAUUUUCGGUGUUUAGCCGCACGAGAUUGAGCAAUAACAGGUCUGUGAUGCCCUUAGAUGUCCGGGGCUGCACGCGCGCUUCACUGGCGAAAUCAGCGUGCUGUAUCCAUUCUCGAAAGAGAUUGGUAAACCCAUGAAAAUUUGCCGUGCUUGGGAUCGGAAAUUGCAAUUAUUUUCCGUGAACGAGGAAUUCCAAGUAAGUGCGAGUCAUCAACUCGCUCUGAUUACGUCCCUGCCCUUUGUACACACCGCCCGUCGCUGCCCGGGACUGAGCCAUUUCGAGAAGAUCAGGGACCGGUGGGCUGUGGCCUCUUCGGAGGUUCGGUCCGUUGGAAACUGAUUUGAUCGCAGUGGCUUGAACCGGGCAAAAGUCGU
rnacentral:rRNA from 1 species